rnacentral:rRNA from 1 species
UACGGGAGGCAGCAGUGGGGAAUAUUGCACAAUGGGCGCAAGCCUGAUGCAGCCAUGCCGCGUGUAUGAAGAAGGCCUUCGGGUUGUAAAGUACUUUCAGUCGUGAGGAAGGUGUUAAGGUUAAUAACCUUAGCAAUUGACGUUAGCGACAGAAGAAGCACCGGCUAACUCCGUGCCAGCAGCCGCGGUAAUACGGAGGGUGCGAGCGUUAAUCGGAAUUACUGGGCGUAAAGGGCACGCAGGCGGUUAAUUAAGUUGGAUGUGAAAUCCCCGGGCUUAACCUGGGAAUGGCAUUCGAAGACUGGUUAGCUAGAGUCUUGUAGAGGGGGUAGAAUUCCAUGUGUAGCGGUGAAAUGCGUAGAGAUGUGGAGGAAUACCGGUGGCGAAGGCGGCCCCUGGACAAAGACUGACGCUCAUGUGCGAAAGCGUGGGGAGCAAACAGGGAUUAGAUACC